rnacentral:rRNA from 1 species
AGCGGCGGACGGGUGAGUAACGCGUGGGUAACCUGCCCUGUACACACGGAUAACAUACCGAAAGGUAUGCUAAUACGAGAUAAUAUGCUUUUAUCGCAUGGUAGAAGUAUCAAAGCUCCGGCGGUACAGGAUGGACCCGCGUCUGAUUAGCUAGUUGGUAAGGUAACGGCUUACCAAGGCGACGAUCAGUAGCCGACCUGAGAAGGUGAUCGGCCACAUUGGAACUGAGACACGGUCCAAACUCCUACGGGAGGCAGCAGUGGGGAAUAUUGCACAAUGGGCGAAAGCCUGAUGCAGCAACGCCGCGUGAGCGAUGAAGGCCUACGGGUCGUAAAGCUCUGUCCUCAAGGAAGAUAAUGACGGUACUUGAGGAGGAAGCCCCGGCUAACUACGUGCCAGCAGCCGCGGUAAUACGUAGGGGGCUAGCGUUAUCCGGAAUUACUGGGCGUAAAGGGUGCGUAGGUGGUUUCUUAAGUCAGAGGUGAAAGGCUACGGCUCAACCGUAGUAAGCCUUUGAAACUGGGAAACUUGAGUGCAGGAGAGGAGAGUGGAAUUCCUAGUGUAGCGGUGAAAUGCGUAGAUAUUAGGAGGAACACCAGUUGCGAAGGCGGCUCUCUGGACUGUAACUGAUACUGAGGCACGAAAGCGUGGGGAGCAAACAGGAUUAGACACCCUGGUAGUCCACGCCGUAAACGAUGAGUACUAGCUGU